GAGGAAGCACCAACAGCUGCUGCUGAAGAAAAAGUGGAAGAUACUGCCGCUACUGUUGCUGAAGAAAGCACUGAAACUAAUCCUGCUGCUGAAAACAACAGUGAAGAUGCUCCUGCUGUCGAAACAGAAAGCAGUGAAACUACUGAACAGAAAAACUCGGAUGAAGAAGAAGCUGCCGAUGAGACACCAGAGAUAAAGCUGGAAACAGCGCCAGCUGAUUUCCGUUUCCCAACUACUAA
rnacentral:misc_RNA from 1 species